GAUGAAGAACGUAGCGAAAUGCGAUAAGUAAUGUGAAUUGCAGAAUUCAGUGAAUCAUCGAAUCUUUGAACGCACAUUGCGCCCGCCAGUAUUCUGGCGGGCAUGCCUGUCUGAGCGUCAUUUCAACCCUCAUGCCCCUAGGGCGUGGUGUUGGGGAUCGGCCAAAGCCCGCGAGGGACGGCCGGCCCCUAAAUCUAGUGGCGGACCCGUCGUGGCCUCCUCUGCUAAGUAGUGAUAUUCCGCAUCGGAGAGCGAUGAGCCCCUGCCGUUAAACCCCCAACUUUCCAAGGUUGACCUCAGAUCAGGUAGGAAUACCCGCUGAACUUAAGCAUAUCAAUAAGCGGAGGA
rnacentral:misc_RNA from 1 species